UGAAACUAACCACACGCCUCUUCAUCUUCCUGCUCAGUUAAACCCUUUAUGAAGCCAGUUAAAGCAAAAUUGAUUGCAAUCAUCCUACCAGUUUUCAUAAAUCAUGGAUUCUUCAUUCCUUCCGGUUCCGUUCAAUACACAACAACCAAACCACUGCUGCUCUAUUCCUUGUUGCGACGCAGGAGACCGGGUGCGAACCAACGAGCCACCGCCGGCCUCCUCUGCCGCGAACCAACCACCUUCCGGAGCCGCCGCCAGCUUCACUCUUCAAUUGCCUUCACUUUCGGGUGGCUUGGAAUUCCUGAAGAAGAAGUCUGCCAUUGAAAAUCAUCAAUUGAAACGACCAGAAACCGCUGUGUCCAUUCAAAUUCCCAUCAUCACCUCAAUUGUUUUGGAAAUUCAUCAAUUGAAGACGCAAAUUCAAGGUAUCUUCUGUUUCGAUUACCCACAAUUGAUGGCCUUUGGAAAGAAAUUCAUCAGUCAAGGCUUUAUGGUACCUGGUCUCUCUAUCUAACAACGUGGCUCCAUGAAGGAUCCUUGUAGGCCGAGAGAUGCAGUUGAGUUGUGCAAAAAGGCUUGUGUGAAGAUUGUAGUCUGACAUUGGUCUAGCUAUGGAAAUCCAAGGAACUGAAGUUGCGAAAGAAAACAGUGAUAUUAUCAUAUUGGAUGAUAACGGGUCCACAUAUGAGGAAGCAAGCACCUUUAUUAAACACAUUGGAAUAUCAUAUUUGUCAAGAGGAAGGUUCAACUGAUACUUUAGAGAUACCAUGUUCCUACAAUAAGCUUUGCUGGCCCUUGUUCUAUAAUCAUAGAAUCUCCGGUGUUCAAAAAAAAAAAAAAACAGUUACAAUGGAUUCUUAAGCUGCAAUACAAAAACCCAAUAUGCAGAGCCUUUGUCUAUAUUAAAGAAACGAUCAUGCAGUUGGAGUGAUUAUUAUGAAUGGAGAGGCAUCCCUUUAGAUUCGUCCGUUGCUCUUCUUCUUCACUGGCCGUUGACCAUAUAUCAAGCCAUUCAACUUGCUUUUGCUAAACAGCCGAUCAUUGAAACUACAGAUAAACUUUGCAUACACUACCUAGGGCCAGAGAGGGAACUUUAUCAAACCGCUGUCUUUGGGGAGUUGCAUGCUCUUCUUCCUGGAGUCCAACUGCAUAUAGAUUUUGUGGGGCCCGCAGUUCCACAUGACAGGUCAGCAUUACAUGUUGCUAAGAAAUAUGAUUUGUUGAUAAGAAAAAGGUAAAACGUACAUAUAGUGGCCUGGCUUGCAAGUUCAAGACAACCUAUCAUUGUUAUGGUCUGUGCAGUUAAUAGUGGUGGGAUAGCGGCAUAGUUAUUAAUAGUGAAUAGCGGACGAUAGUGACAAGCUACCUAUAGGUGUUAAAUAAGGUUUUUUGUGCUGGAAAUUUUGUGUAGAUUAGGAACUGAGGUUGGUUGGUAGUUUGAGAAAAGUGAUUGUAAUAUUGGUUGAAAGAUGGAGUUGUUGAAUGUGUGUUUGGUACGGGUAGUAAAAAGGUUUGGUAAUGUUUAAAGUAAGGGAAAGAGUAGCUGGAAAAGCCGCAGUUUGGAAAUGGAAGGUGUAAUUUGUGCUUAUGUAAUUUGUUGCUCUUGAUAAGGAUAACUGGAUAAGUAGGUGGUUGCUGUUAGUUCUGAUAUCUUGAUAUACUGUGUUAAAUUCAGGGAAUUAUGUGUUUUAAUUACUUGACUGGAUCUUGAAAAUCUAAUUUUGUAACUGCUUUCGUCUUUGCCUAAAAUACGGAUGAUUAAGAACCGAGAAUUGGCUGCUCGAUCACAACCUUGAAACUGGGUUUUUAUAAAGUUCGCCUAAGGCGCGAUUAGGCGCGAGGCGCACUAAGCCGCAUGCCUCAGCGCCUCAUGUCACCCAAGGCGCGCCUUUCUAACAAAGCGCAAAAAACACAAUUUUUGGAUUUUUUUUUUUGGGUCUAAGGCGCGCUUUGAGUACUUUGGGGUGUUUUUAUGCAUCAAAGAGUUGUACAAUAGGUUUUUUGGCUUGCAAAUGUAGGUAAUAUAUAAAUCUUAUUUAUAAAAGUAACAUAUGUUUGCAUGUACUUGAAUGUAAUCCUGAACUUGAAAUGUUGUCUAUUAUCUCUUUUGAAAAUUUGAACUGUGUACUAAAGUUUUGGAAGGUGAGUUGUCCAAUCACAAAUGCCCUAAAUAUUGUUUAGUUAAAAGCUCCCAAGGUGCAUGUCAGAUGCUCAAGCAAGGCGAGAAGCUUCAAAGGUGCGACUGAGGUGCACGCCUUAAACAAGGCGCAGGCAAGGCAACAACACAUGAUUUUGAUUGUUUCAACUUUUUUCAUCUAAGAUAUGACCAUUUGGUUGAUGAUGAACAACAAAUCUUCCUUAUUUUUUUGUGAAUUGUUAUCUUUCUCUAAUUCUAUUGUAUUCUUUAUUUUACUUGUGCCUUGUAAAAUGGUACUAUUUUUUUGUU